rnacentral:rRNA from 1 species
CCUACGGGGCGCUGCAGUGGGGAAUAUUGGACAAUAGGCGAAAGCCUGAUCCAGCCAUGCCGCGUGUGUGAAGAAGGCCUUCGGGUUGUAAAGCACUUUCAGUGGGGAAGAAAGCCUUGGGGCUAAUACCCUCGAGGAAGGACAUCACCCACAGAAGAAGCACCGGCUAACUCCGUGCCAGCAGCCGCGGUAAUACGGAGGGUGCGAGCGUUAAUCGGAAUUACUGGGCGUAAAGCGCGCGUAGGCGGUCUGAUAAGCCGGUUGUGAAAGCCCCGGGCUCAACCUGGGAACGGCAUCCGGAACUGUCAGGCUAGAGUGCAGGAGAGGAAGGUAGAAUUCCCGGUGUAGCGGUGAAAUGCGUAGAGAUCGGGAGGAAUACCAGUGGCGAAGGCGGCCUUCUGGACUGACACUGAUGCUGAGGUGCGAAAGCGUGGGUAGCAAACAGGAUUAGAUACCCUAGUAGUC